AUUGAACGCUGGCGGCAGGCCUAACACAUGCAAGUCGAGCGAGCGGCGGACGGGUGAGUAAUGUCUGGGAAACUGCCUGAUGGAGGGGGAUAACUACUGGAAACGGUAGCUAAUACCGCAUACCCUCAGAUAUGCCCAGGUGGGAUUAGCUGGUAGGUGGGGGAACGGCUCACCUCGGCGACGCUCACUAGCUGGUCUGAGAGGGGGACCAGCCACACUGGAACUGAGACACGGUCCAGCCUCCGACGGGAGGAAGCAGUGGGGAAUAUUGCACAAUGGGCGCAAGCCUGAUGCAGCCAUGCCGCGUGUGUGAAGAAGGCCUUCGGGUUGUAAAGCACUUUCAGCGGGGAGGCGUUACCCGCAGAAGAAGCACCGGCUAACUCCGUGCCAGCAGCCGCGGUAAUAC
rnacentral:rRNA from 1 species